UACGUAGGGUGCAAGCGUUGUCCGGAAUUAUUGGGCGUAAAGAGCUCGUAGGCGGUUCGUCGCGUCGGCUGUGAAAACCCGGAGCUCAACUCCGGGCCUGCAGUCGAUACGGGCGGACUUGAGUGUUGCAGGGGAGACUGGAAUUCCUGGUGUAGCGGUGAAAUGCGCAGAUAUCAGGAGGAACGCCGGUGGUGUAGACGGCUCUCUGGACCAUUACUGACGCUGAGGUACGAAAGCGUGGGUAGCAAACAGG
rnacentral:rRNA from 1 species